rnacentral:rRNA from 1 species
UCCCGCAGCAGCACCCUAAGCAUGCAAAUCGACGAUGAAGGGGAGCUUGCUUCCUGGAUUAGUGGCGAAUGGGAGAGUAACACGUGAGUAACCUGCCCUUGACUCUGGGAUAAGCACUGGAAACGGUGUCUAAUACCGGAUACGAACUUCCACCGCAUGGUGAGGAGUUGGAAAGAAUUUUGGUCAAGGAUGGACUCGCGGCCUAUCAGCUAGUUGGUGAGGUAAUGGCUCACCAAGGCGACGACGGGUAGCCGGCCUGAGAGGGUGACCGGCCACACUGGGACUGAGACACGGCCCAGACUCCUACGGGAGGCAGCAGUGGGGAAUAUUGCACAAUGGGCGCAAGCCUGAUGCAGCAACGCCGCGUGAGGGACGAAGGCCUUCGGGUUGUAAACCUCUUUUAGUAGGGAAGAAGCGUAAAAGUGACGGUACCUGCAGAAAAAGCACCGGCUAACUACGUGCCAGCAGCCGCGGUAAUACGUAGGGUGCAAGCGUUAUCCGGAAUUAUUGGGCGGAAAGAGCUCGUAGGCGGUUUGUCGCGUCUGCUGUGAAAUCUGGGGGCUCAACCCCCAGCCUGCAGUGGGUACGGGCAGACUAGAGUGCGGUAGGGGAGAUUGGAAUUCCUGGUGUAGCGGUGGAAUGCGCAGAUAUCAGGAGGAACACCAAUGGCGAAGGCAGAUCUCUGGGCCGUAACUGACGCUGACGAGCGAAAGCAUGGGGAGCGAACAGGAUUAGAUACCCUGGUAGUCCAUGCCGUAAACGUUGGGAACUAGACGUAGGGGCCAUUCCACGGUUUCUG